rnacentral:rRNA from 1 species
CCUACGGGCGGCAGCAGUGGGGAAUAUUGGACAAUGGGCGAAAGCCUGAUCCAGCAAUGCCGCGUGAGUGAAGAAGGCCUUCGGGUUGUAAAGCUCUUUUACCCGGGAAGAUAAUGACUGUACCGGGAGAAUAAGCCCCGGCUAACUCCGUGCCAGCAGCCGCGGUAAUACGGAGGGGGCUAGCGUUGUUCGGAAUUACUGGGCGUAAAGCGUACGUAGGCGGCUUUGUAAGUCAGAGGUGAAAGCCCACGACUCAAUCGUGGAACUGCCUUUGAGACUGCUUCGCUUGAAGAUGGGAGAGGUUAGUGGAAUUCCGAGUGUAGAGGUGAAAUUCGUAGAUAUUCGGAAGAACACCAGUGGCGAAGGCGGCUAACUGGACCAUUCUUGACGCUGAGGUACGAAAGCGUGGGGAGCAAACAGGAUUAGAUACCCAAGUAGUC